AUCUUUUCUCCAGCGAGUCAAUAUAUAAUGAUUUGGGAUUUCCUCUAUACCAUUGUAGUUGAGCACAGAUAAAGCAUGUCUGCAGAGAUAGCCUCUGAAGUUGAAACAACUGCACAUGCAUCGAACUUCUACCCCUAUUUUAUCAUAAGUAACUUCAACAUCUCUUGCAUCACUCAUGUCUCCUUGAACCCCUCGUUCUUUAACCAUAUAUGUGAUGAUGGGUCCAUUGGUGUGAAUUUG
rnacentral:misc_RNA from 1 species